rnacentral:miRNA from 1 species
AAGAUUUGACUGUUGGAACUGCCU